UUUCGUGCUGAGUGCAAUGCAGCAUAUGGGUUAUGCCAUCUUGUGCAAUGCAUGACCACAUAUUAAUAUACACAGAAACAAGCUGAACUGGAAUUCCAGUUCCCCAUACUCCCAUCUGAUAAACACAAAUGAAGCCCAAUAGAACAUGAUUUUGCCCUCCUGACUAUACCAAUAACCAUCCCACAUCCUCUAGAAAGUUCUUUCAGAGUGCAUUUAUAGGAUAAAGUUUUCCCACUAAAAAUUGCUGCAGGAACAUUCUUAUUCAUCAAAACAAGAAAUCAAGUGGCUGCUGCUUCUUGAAAAACAUGAAGACAUUGUUGUGAACAUUGCUCUAGUAUUUACAGGGGGAAGAAAAAAAUAGCAGCCUUUUAGAGAGCUUUAACUCAAAUCCCCAAGAGCAGCAGUGUUGCCUCCAGCCUAAAGCUGAUGUCGUUUUUGAUCCUAAGCCUUGCAAUCUGAAGCUAUCCUGUGGUUCUGCAGUUGUGUUUGUUUUGGAAGACACACAACAAAUAACAAGAGGAAGGAUACAUGAGUUAGCACAGAGAGCUACAGGGAAAGUUGUUGCAGCUCCAAGGAGGGGGGAACUUUGUGCAUGUGGCCUCUGAAAACCAAAAAAAUGUCUGUAGAUAAUAUUUGCUUUUUCUACACUUCCUUGGGCAAACAAAAAUAAAAGGCAGAGGAAAAUGAGUUUUUUUAAAAACUAUAGCCCUUGGCUACUACAGAUCAGAUACUGUUUUAGUCAUUUGAUCUACUGAGGAGGAGAGCAGAAAGUUUUAGCCUCAAACUCCUAGAGAAGGUUGUAGAGCAGACAGGAAAUCCUUACUGUAAAUGAGAAUCUGUUGUAAACUAGUUGAAAUGCUGAAGUUCUGUUCUAGGGGAGAAAAAAUAUUAGCCAUCUGAAUUUGCUUCCAUCUCAGUUGGAUGAAAAGUUAGAAUUCAUACUCCCCCAUAUACCAAGUAUUCCCCAAAGUUGAGUUCUGGGAAUACCAAAGUGGCCUUAUCAGAACAUUUCAUUUGAGUGAAGUCACAGCAUUUUGUCUUGAUAAAGUCAACAGACUUUGUUUCAGUUUUUGAUCUGGAAGUUCUUUGACACAGAGAAUGAUGGAAACUUGUUCUUUGGAGGAUGUGUUGCUCCCUGAAAAAUCCCAUGAAUUGUUUUUUCAAGCAAGCUGGGGCAGAAGUAGUUAGUUGGAAUCUAACUCUGCAAUGACAGGCAGCUUCAUAGUAAUCCAAAAGCCACUAAAGCAUUCUAGUAAGGGGCAGUAUUAAGAGUGGCAGCUGCUUGAAAAUCCUUAGUGCUGGCAAGGAGAUCAGUAAUGACAUUUUAUAUGUAUAUAUCUACAUAUAUCUAUAUAGCUAUAUAUGUCUCUCUAUAUCUUUUUUUCUGCUACAGUAUCAUGAAAUCUAUUGAAAAACUGAUAUAUUUUUCAGUUGCAUUUUAAAUAAGCAUGAUUAAGCAGACAAGGUCAAAGAAAGCUAGUACCUGGGCAAUUAAUUGUGACCAGUCACUCGUUUUAAGUUGUAACUAGCAGUUGUUACCCUGAGGUCAACUCCUUUAGAAAAUGCCAGGAUAGCCUUGCCAAGCAGCCAACAGCCAGGGCUGUGGGAUGAAAAUAAAAGUGUUACAAGAAGUAAUGAUGAAAGUAUUACAAGUAGAUUAAAUGUUCAUCAGUGGGAAGAAGGUGAGAAAGAGGUCUCAAGGGAAUUAUAAAGACAGCAAGCUCAGGAACCUGCAAGCAAGGAAGAAUGGGAUUCUGACUAAGAACAAGUGAAAACCCAUUAUCUUAGCCCAAGAAUCACUGCUAAUUUUCAUGAAAAUAAAAUCAGAGGCAGAUCCAAAUAUUCACUAAUUAUUAAAGAGAUAAUUAAAAAAGGUUGUGUGACUAAGUGCAAGUGAAAUUUCACAGGUGAGUGGGUAAGGGAGAGAGGGACUAUUUGCCACAACUGAUAAAAACAAAGUGCACAGAAGAAGCAAAAAAAGAAGAUUGAGGACAACAGUGAAUAACUGCAAUUGAGCUCUUAGUGGAAACAGACUAAUUUCAUGUUCUACAAGCGAAAGACAUGAAAUAUGUACUCUAUUAUCUGAUCUGAUACCGAGAGGAGGGCAGUUAUUUUAAAGGAGAUUCAUAUGGUUGAUAGCAAGAAAGGAAAUAAGGACAAGUUUAAAUUAAGACAUGGGAAACCAGGGAGUAACAAAAUAACAAACGCUGUCAAGGAGAUGGACUGGAUGACCUUGCAGGUCUUCUCAAUCACAUGCUUCCUGGACUCCUUAUGAAGAGAACAGAGUCUCAGUAGCAGAUAUUUAAGAUAUCACGUUAGUAGCCAACUUCAGGAGACUUGUCCAGCUACAAACAAUCUGCUUUUCUGCAACCUCUUUGUAGUUUUAGAACAAUGAAGUUACUAAAAUGCAGCUCUGAGUUUUAUCAAAGCAUGUCUUUAAAAUACUGGCAAUAAGCAGAGGUGCAGCUUUUCUCUUCUUAUUGCCUAAGUGUGGUGGUAUCUGAGUUGUGAAUAAUUUUGGUGUUUUUCCAGCUGCUUUGCGUGCCUUUGGCAAAACAGGCAUUACUGCUGGAAAACAGAGCUGCGCUUCACCCCCUAAUUUCCUUCUCUGUUGGGUAACCCUCUCACUCAAACCCCAGAACCUGCACAAGAAGAAUUUUAGAAUCCCCCUUCAGGGGGGUUCUACUAUCAUCAUCAUCAUCAUCAUCAAAGAACUGAGUACCAGGCAUGCCUUCUAAUGAAGGACAUACAGGAAGUGGUAGACCAAUGAAGGACAACAGGAGUGUAGAGUCAGUUUCCUGCAGGAGCCUGUCCCUGUUUUGGUUUAAACAACAGACCUUGAUGAUCUUGAAGCUGUUUUUCCAGAACCCUUUGGAGAGAGAGGUUUUGUACUAACAAACUCCAGACAACGACUCCAGGCAAUGUUUACUAGUCCUGUGGUGCAUUGACUUGCUUGUCAGUGUUUGUAAACUUCAGUCAGUUCCUCCUGGGUCUCUGAAAAGCUGCUACAGCCCCCCAGUGGUGCAGUUGACACUCAGCUCCUCCAAUCUGUCCUUUGCUGGGACAAAUCUCAGUAGUAAACUAAUUUGAAACCAGGA